AAUGCUGAAACACCGGUUCCCGAACGACCAUCGAAGUUAAGCAACAUCUAGCCUGGUCAGUACCUAGAUGGGUGACCGUUAGAGAAUACCAGGUGCU